rnacentral:rRNA from 1 species
AGAGUGAACGCUGGCGGUAGGCCUAACACAUGCAGGUCGAACGGCAGCACAGGAGAGCUUGCUCUCUGGGUGGCGAGUGGCGAACGGGUGAGUAAUAUAUCGGAACGUGCCCAGUAGCGGGGGAUAACUACGCGAAAGCGUGGCUAAUACCGCAUACGCCCUACGGGGGAAAGGGGGGGAUCGCAAGACCUCUCACUAUUGGAGCGGCCGAUAUCAGAUUAGCUAGUUGGUGAGGUAAAGGCUCACCAAGGCGACGAUCUGUAGCUGGUUUGAGAGGACGACCAGCCACACUGGGACUGAGACACGGCCCAGACUCCUACGGGAGGCAGCAGUGGGGAAUUUGGACAAGUGGGGGAAACCCUGAUCCAGCCAUCCCGCGUGUGCGAUGAAGGCCUGGGUUAGUAAGC